UUAUUUUUUUUUUCUUGGGGAUUCUCCUCUCUCCUGCCAGACUGACUUACACGUUCUUGAUAAUUUCUCUUCCCCUCAUUUUUUAUACUCUUCUCCCUGCUUCCAAACCCUGUGUCUGUGUGUUUCAGUACUAUCACAACCUCGCUAAAAAUAGAUCUUUUUAUACCCUUCCUCCUCUCUGACCCCAUCCAACACCCCUUGUUAAGGUCACAUCUUAAACCCAGAGCAAGAAAAGUAAAUUCACUUGGCUGUCCCAUAUCUCUAAGGAACCUGAUGCAUGAGUGGAUUAGAGAAGAGAAAGAGAGGAAAACUCCAAAGCCCUACAGAUCAUCUGGCUGGCAGGGUCAAGUUUUCUUCAGAUUGAAGUGGAAUUGUGGCUCAUGGACAUCUGAUGUGCUGG